AGCAGUCGCCGCGGGAAUACGAAGGGUGCAAGCGUUAAUCGGAAUUACUGGGCGUAAAGCGUGCGUAGGCGGUUUGUUAAGUCUGUUGUGAAAUCCCCGGGCUCAACCUGGGAAUGGCAAUGGAUACUGGCAAGCUAGAGUGUGUCAGAGGAUGGUGGAAUUCCCGGUGUAGCGGUGAAAUGCGUAGAGAUCGGGAGGAACAUCAGUGGCGAAGGCGGCCAUCUGGGACAACACUGACGCUGAGGCACGAAAGCGUGGGGAGCAAACAGGAUUAGAUACCCGCGUAGUCCCUGUCUCUUAUAC
rnacentral:rRNA from 1 species